AGGCACGAGGUUCACGCAGCCAGAGUAGAUGACAGCCCUGGGAUGGCCUGUGUUGCAGGCUGGGCCCCCGCCCUGGCUUCUGGUCUUGCGCCGAGCCCCAGGGUGCUCCCGAGCUGGCGGGGAUGAAUGCUCCUGUCUCAGACCCCAGCCUGGGGCACCGAUGUGGCUUCUCCUGGGUGGGGCUGGCCCCUGAGCCCACCUUGGCUUGAUGAGCUGGGGCUGUAGAAGGAGGGGCUUGUCUCUUUAGCAUCUGCUCCUCAGAGAAGGGGUCCUACAUUUGCUGGAACGUUCCCUGUGCUUGCUGCUCUGCACGCCCCUCCGUUGCCCCUCUGCAAACCGUGAUCCCGCACCUGUGUGUUCACUUGCUUUAUGAGGUUAGGAGCUGCGGUCCCAGGGGCCUUGGAGGAGUGGCCAGGCCAGACGACACUUCAGCUGGUGGUGUCCCAAGGGGAUUCUGCCUCCAGAGGCACCUCGAGAGACCAGCACUCUGCGGGGUCCUUCUCUGUGGUUCCUGCCCCUCCCCUUUUCCAAGGGAUCAAGGUCAGGAAGCAAAUGAGAUUCCCUGCUCCCCAUCUCCCUCCCACCCCCCACCCAGAGAAAGAUGCUUUUAUGUCCUUUCAGGCGUCCCCCAGGAGCUGAGGAAGAAAGGCAGGGAAGACAGGCUAGGACCACUUGGCUGGAGAAACAGCAGGCCAUUUUCCAGCUGGAUCUAAAUGAAAGAUUUGGCAGCCCGCCAGCCCACAGCAUCCGCCAGAAUCCCUCCCUGGGGACUGGCGAGACUCAGCCGCUAUCUGCAGUGCCGCCUGCGCCUUCCAGACGAAGGGUCCUCCCCUCCUCCCUGAGCUUGACCUUCCCUCUGUUAUUAGCAGUGAUGUCACUAACAAUGAUUAUUCUUCCUGCAGUUAUUAUCAUGCACCUUCUUCGUGCUGUGUGCCGUUCGUAUCUCAUUUAUUUCUCAAAUCACCCCUCGGGGCAGGAGAGAGGUGCACAGCAGUUAUGUUUUUUUUUUUUCUGUUGAGAAAGAGGAGGCCAGGCAUUGUGUUCUCUGCCAGAUGUCACCUGGCCCCCUUCACCAUGUCCUGGGAAAAUGCCCUAUGUCCCCAAGUCCUGGGUGGGCAGGGCUGCCGUGACCUGGAAGCCCUAGGAGGGGUGCUCCUGGCCAAACCCCAAAAGUCCAGGGUCCACCCGGCCCACCUCCUUUGCCCCAUCUGCUCCACGGGCCCCUGACCUCGGUCGUGUGGUGAUCAAGACAGGUGAGAGGCGGGGUGACUGAGCCCUGAGGGCCCACAGGGACAGAGUCUGUCACCUCCAAGCGGAAAAAGAGGCUACUCCAAGAAAUCCAAGUGAUCAGAAUUCAGUGGUGGCCUGGUGUCCUCAGCAAGUGACUUCUGAGAUUAGACUUUGAGCAUUUUCUUUCCCUUUUUUGUGGGGGAGGGGGGAGCAGGGGCACGGGCCAGGGACAAAGCAGUGCAAACCUUUGCGAAUAAAGGGAGGAAAGGCCCCCUGCCACCGCCCCUGAGAGAGAAACAAAACAGCAGUUACAAUGGAGUGGUCAAAAGUACCCAAAAUUGGAGUUCCCGUUGUGGCUCAGCAGGUUAAAAACCCAAUGUAGAGUCCUUGAAGAGGCAGGUUCGAUCCCUGGCCUCGCUCAGUGGGUUAAGGAGCCAGCAUUGCUGAGAGUCCUGUGGGGUAGGUCGCAGGUGUGGCUCAGAUCUGGAGUGGCUGUGGCUGUGGCGUAGGCUGGCAGCUGCCCCUCCGAUUCAAACCACAGCCCAGGAACCCCCAUAUGCCACAGGUGCAGCUGUAAAAAGAAACAGGGAAAAAAUACCUACAAUUGACUACAUAAAUUUUGGAAUAUAAUUCUGCAUUGUUUGUACUGAGUCACGGUAAAAGUCAUACAUUUUUGGUAAAGAUAGAUCAUAAAAGCAGAGAAAGCCCUAGGGAGGCUGGAAGAGGCUACACCCUUCCAGGGGGCGGGGGGGGGGGCAGUAGCCGGCUCCUGCCCUUUGAGCAUCGUGCAGGCUCGCACCUGCCCAGACCUCUCCAACCAAGCCUUUGACGAGGUCCACUCUCGGCUCCUGGCUUCUUGUGCAACCUGUCUUGCUGCCUUCUGGGAGGAGGGUUGAGACUCGUGCUGGCUUGGGAAUAAAUCCUGCCAGUCAGAGGAGGCACAUUUGCAAGGAAUUCAUGUCCCACUGCUGCCAGGGAACUCCAGAGCCCUCCUUCCACACCAAGCUCCCUCCACGUUGCUGAGCAGCCCCCAGGGGCCCCCGUGUCUGUCUCCUCAGCCAUCUGACAAACUGGACAACCACCAAAUGUACAGUCAUAGCGUUGUCCCAGCAAUCCAGAUAGUUCUGCCUGGGGCCCUGGAAACUGGCAGGAAGGGCCCUUCCAAAUGUUUAUACUUGAGGAGUUCCCAUCGUGGCUCAGUGGUAACAAACCCAACUCGUAUCCAUGAGGAUGCAGGUUCAAUCCCUGGCCUUGCUCAGCGGGUUAAGGAUCUGGCACUGCUAUGGCUGUGGUGUAGGUUGGCAGCUCAGCUGAGAUUCAAGCCCUAGCCUGGGAAAUUCCGUAUGCUGCAGGUGUGGCCCUAAAACGACAAAAAAAAAAAAAAAAAAAAAAAAAA
ensembl:lncRNA